CAAAAUUUGGCUUCCAAAAUUUGGCCGACCCGGCGGAUUUAUACAAUCAAUAUGUUGUAUCAAACGACUCGAAAACCCCAAAAUUUGGACCCGACGCGAAUUUGUACAAUAUAGUGGAAUAUAAGCAAGGACAAGUUAAAGGUUCGACAGUUUAUUUUGAUUUAUUGUAUGGUUCUCAUUUGCCUAAUACAAUAACAUUUAGUUCACAAUACAAUAUAAACAAGGGCAAGUUAAAGGUUUGACCAUAUUAAAAUACAAUAUGUAUUGAAAUUCGCGCAAUAGCAACUAGAAUUCGCGCAAGUAAAGAUAAAGCGAGCGUUCAAAAUAGCAAAAAGAACUAAGACAUUUAUUGUAUGGUUCUCAUUUGCCUAAUAGAAUAACAUUUAG